AACGGUCUAUACCUGCGGUACCUGCGGAGGGAUCAUUAGUGAACGCCCUCGCGGGCUUAUAACUAUUCCAAACCUCUGUGAACCGUGCCCUUCGGGGCUAUUUUACAAACAUGGUGUAAUGAACGUCAUAUAUCAUAACAAAACAAAACUUUUAACAAUGGAUCUCU
rnacentral:misc_RNA from 1 species